rnacentral:rRNA from 1 species
GACGAACGCUGGCGGCGUGCUUAACACAUGCAAGUCGAACGCUGAAGACCUGGCUUUUGUUGGGUUGGAUGAGUGGCGAACGGGUGAGUAACACGUGAGUAACCUGCCCUCUUCUUUGGGAUAACGCCCGGAAACGGGUGCUAAUACUGGAUAUUCACUGAUCUUCGCAUGGGGGUUGGUGGAAAGGUUUGUUCUGGUGGGGGAUGGGCUCGCGGCCUAUCAGCUUGUUGGUGGGGUGAUGGCCUACCAAGGCUUUGACGGGUAGCCGGCCUGAGAGGGUGACCGGUCACGUUGGGACUGAGCUACGGCCCAGACUCCUACGGGAGGCAGCAGUGGGGAAUAUUGCACAAUGGGCGAAAGCCUGAUGCAGCGACGCCGCGUGAGGGAUGGAGGCCUUCGGGUUGUAAACCUCUUUCGCUCAUGGUCAAGCCGCAACUGUGGGUUGUGGUGAGGGUAGUGGGUAAAGAAGCGCCGGCUAACUACGUG